rnacentral:hammerhead_ribozyme from 1 species
AUCCAGCUGAUGAGUUCUAAAUGGAGCGAAACGCGCAUCCUGGAU